rnacentral:rRNA from 1 species
UACGAAGGGUGCAAGCGUUAUUCGGAAUCAUUGGGCGUAAAGCGCGCGCAGGCGGAUCAGCAAGUCAGAUGUGAAAUCUCAGAGCUCAACUCUGAAACUGCGUCUGAAACUGCUAGUCUAGAGUGUCGGAGGGGGCAGGGGAAUUUCACGUGUAGGGGUAAAAUCCGUAGAGAUGUGAAGGAACACCGGGGGCGAAGGCGCCUGCCUGGACGACUACUGACGCUGAGGCGCGAAAGCGUGGGGAGCAAACAGGAUUAGAUACCCUGGUAGU